AUGAGACACAUAAGGUGGAAAUUACUCUGUGGUGACACACUGUGGAGUCCUGCCCACAACCCGGAUACUUGGACCCACUCCACUGAAACCUUAGGCCACAGCUAAGUUCCUUCCUUCAAAAAAUAAAUCUAAGAAAGAGGAAAAACAGGAAUGACCUCCUUUCAGGCACUCUGUUGGUUUUAUGGCGCCUCUUCUUGCGAAUGUUUGUGUAAAAUUGACAUACUGUGGUCCUUUUCUGCACAAUUACGGCAAGGAAAAUUCAGAUCGCAAAGGUCCACCUCGGACGUUACUGGGAGGAAUGAGGGCGAGGAAGAGAAAGACGUUAGUCCUCGGACCGUUUCCGAGAGUCAUCUCCGG
rnacentral:lncRNA from 1 species